AAAGUCUAACCUGCCCACUGAAUAAUUUUUAAAUGGCUGCAGUAAUUUGACUGUACAAAGGUAGCAUAAUCAUUAGUUUUUUAAUUAAAAGCUUGUAUGAAGGGUUGGACGAAGUAAAUUCUGUCUCUUUUUAAUAUUAUUAGAAUUUAAUUUUUAAGUUAAAAAGCUUAAAUAGAAGUAAAAGACGAGAAGACCCUAUAGAGUUUAAUAAUUUUAUUAGAAUAUUUAAUUUAGAUUAAUUAAUUUUAUUUUAAUAAAAUUAUUUUGUUGGGGUAAUGAAAAGAUUAAAAAAAUUCUUUUUUUUUAUUACAUAAAUUUAUGAAAAUAUGAUCCAUUUUUUAUGAUUAUAAGAUUAAAUUACCUUAGGGAUAACAGCGUAAUUUUUUUAAAGAGUUCAUAUCGAUAAAAAAGUUUGCGACCUCGAUGUUGGAUUAAAGAUUAGUUUAGGUGUAGAAGUUUAAAUUUUUGGUCUGUUCGACCAUUAAAUCUUUACAUGAUCUGAGUUCAAACCGGUGUAAGCCAGGUUGGUUUCUAUCUUUAUAAAAUUUUAAUAUUUUAGUACGAAAGGACCAGAUAUUAAAUAUAUUAAUAUUUUAUUUUGAAUAUUAUU
rnacentral:rRNA from 1 species